UGGUUACUUGUUACCUCGGUACUUUUAGCUUUUGUUUAACAGCUUCACGCAGUCCAUUCGACAUCAGCAGCCGUCCACAGAAAGUCACCUGAAUGUCAUGUUAAUGACUAAAUGUGUCAUUCCAACCCGCUGCAUCCUGUUAUGGCGUUCAUUGUUGAUCAUGCAUUUAUUGGUCUGUGCCAUUCUGGGGUCAUGAUAGAACAAGCCUGCUGCUGUUGUUCAGGCAACAAAAAGUUCAUUUUAGGAGUGCCAAUGUGUUUCACAUGGUUCCACAUGACUGCCCUUCCACAUCCACAGCUGCAGUGCUUCGCUCCUCAUGUAGGUUUUGAUCCGAAGCAAUUUCCUUUCUGACCAAUCAAAAAAGAACGAAAAACACCUCAGUGCUUUGAAUUGAACACUGGCAGUGACCCAAAUGUUCCGCAUUCACCUUCACAUCACAUGAUUGAGGGUAAUUUAUAAUUUGUCCCUGUGCUGCGAAACGAGGGGGAAAAGCCUCUCCAGGUUAUAGUGACAUUGCAUCAGAAAAGUGUUGUGUGGUGUGUUGUUUGUGUGUGCGGCCGCUCAAGAAGUGUGUGUGUGUGUGUGUGUGACCUCGAAAUUUUUUUAAUCUUUUGGGUGUGCAGCUGGAAUGACACAUUAUAUAAAACUAAAGUUAAAUUAUUUAUCCUUUUCUUUGCUAGGGAGUGAACUAUACAUGUCACCACCCACUCCCUCAGGAUGAAUGAAUGAAUAUGCUAAUGUUUAGCCAAGGCCCACAAACCCAACAGAUUUGCCGUUACGCAAACACAAUGUAAUUACACUCUCUGUGUGUGCAGGCAGAGUACAGGUGAGUAGGAGAGCAGCUUUCUAUGUACAUGUGCCACUUUUAUUCUACAAUGACAAACCACCAAACUGCAGCCCUGCGGCCAUUUUCCGCGUCCGCGUUCCCUUGUUUUCCACUUGUGGUGUUCACUAUCGUCCCAAAAAGCAAAGAGAACAAGAUUUGUUCCCACCCAUAUUUAUAGGGUGGUUGCAUUCAUUUAUUUGGCUGACCUCCAUAUGAGCAGACUUGUACACUGAAUUGGCCUCCGCUGCCCGCUUUGUGGGGAGAAACAAUGUGUAAUGCUGUUGUCACCAUGACAACCAACAGCGUUGCGUUUGUGUAAGAAAAUAUUAGUUGGGUAAUGUUUGCUGAGCUCCUAACAGGAAAAAAAACACAAGUCAUCUUUUAAGAGACGCAGGUAAAAUAUUAUACAAAAGUGAGUAGUUUCUUCCCCAAAACGCUACCGUCUCUUCGAGCUAAGCGCUGUCAGUUCAGCCACAAAAUAGCGGCGAGGACUUGCCGCUGUUCUAAAAAUACCUAUUGAUGAAAUGCAUAAUUGCUGCCAGCGAUGACCCAGUAACAGAAGUAACUAAUCAAAGAUUGACUGCUCUGAUGAGAGGUGAGUUAUGUGGAAUAGUGUGCAGUAGGAGGUCUGCUCAAUCUGAUGGAGCGUAACACAAAUCCCAGUGAGGCGUACUGAUUUAAUUUUAAUGUUCACAUUAGUUCAAUUAAUACGGAGCAAAGCAGAAGCCCCUGGAAUGUAUAAUCUGAGUGUUUAUAGGGUGAGUGUGUGACUGACUGUACAGCGUUGAGGGGAAGCGGGACAUCCGAUUCCAGAACAGAAAAGGAAGCAGUUUUAUGCUCCAUGAGCACAUUUCUAUAAUGUCCACAGAAGUUCUGUCUAAAAGACCGAUGUGCAAAGUGUUCAUCUCAGAGUGAAGCAGCUUUUCAAUUGGAAAACACUGCAGCUGUGAGGCUGCACAGAAAACUCAAUGAUUCAACCACGAGAGGAUGUUGUCUGUCGUAAGAAUGAGGUCAGAAAUGGUCAACUUCAAAUUAAAAGGUUUAAAAAUUAAAAGGUUUGAAGGUCUGUUAAUAAUUUAUAUUGAUGGAAACCAAAUGGGGGAUAAUGAGCAUUAAAGAUUGUUUUUACUAUUGACCCAUUGCCACCCUUUGUCGCCUAAAUUGAUGUGGUGGAUUUCAGCAAACCCCCUUUUCACAUCCAGCAUAUUAUCAUUACUUGGCUUCUGCUAUGAAGGAAAAUAUCUGGCUUUUAUGCUAGUUUUUAAAUUCCAAAUAUUAUUUCCUCAUCUCAGAGUUCAGCUUCCCUCAACUCCUCAUGAGGCUUUCACUUCUGCUUUUUAGUUACUCUUAAAAUUGUCUUCGUAACCGUCCAAAGCUACAGGUCGUUUUCCUUUUUAUGCGUUCAAGGCUGUUGAUGUGGAGAUUGCGCACAAAGGAGUGGACGAGCAGGCCACUCCGGGAAGGUGGAGGUGUAACUUCAGUUAACCAGCAGCAGUCACCUGAGCUCAUCAGGACCGGCUGAGAGGAGGACGACGGGACUCUUUCAUGAGACGCACGUGGGCGUCCGGGAUCGUUAGCCGUCUUCACGAGUUGGUUGACUUCCUGAGAGGACUGGUUUCUGUGAGACGUCGGGCUCCUCCUCUAAAACGACCUGGGAAGGUUUGAGCAGCUUAUUGUGGCGCAGCUUUCAUGUGCUGCUCUGUAAAUCUCUGAUAGGCUGCUAAUCUCAGUCUGUGUUCAGAAGUGUCCAAGUGUUGAGGCAGAUUAUGGGGGUUAGACUGUAUGAAGAUGGCUGUAGUGCUGUAGAUUAGUGGGCUUGUUCUACGGGCAGGAUUUUCUCCGUAAAUAACACCGAUAUGAACAAAUCCUGUCCGCAUCUGUUUUUUGAAUCAUGAGCAUAUGUGAGAUCUGCUCUUACUUUGUGGCUGGACCCGACUGACGUUGCUGGUUUAAGGUCUCGGAGCAACAGCAGAGAGUUUGAACUCCUCUGAAUUCAUCCCUAGUUCUGACAUGGAUGAGGGUCGACGCAUGUUUUAAGAGGGUGACCAGUCGCGCAUUGUGAUGUACAUCCAGUCGUCACAAAAAGAGAACGGGAGCAGAGUGAAAUGGCCUUCGGGUGGACGUCCACUGAACUAAACGCUGGGCCGCCGUGGGCGUCAGCGCUCCCAGCUGUAUUUAUGGGCCGUGAGGUGAGGCGUCCAGCUGCAUUUCUAACCUAGGACCUCGCUGUGUUGGGGAGGGCUCUGCGCGCCGUGAAAAGCCUGUCAUCAGAAAACUGCUGUCUUAAGCGAUUUCUCAGAGGAUGUGCUGAGGAGGUCCGGGUGAUUCAACUCCUCCCGGCCCUUGUGAUUUUGUCAGAUGUCCGUACGUCACUUGUGUGACUCGCAAAGUGCUUUUACAGUAAGAACUGUGUUGUUGGAUUCAAGCUUUUAAGUCCGCCUCCGUCUUACGUUGAGCGGCCAGUCGGUGUCUGAUGGCUGAAGACUUUCUCUUGCUCAUUCGGACGUUAUUAUCUUUUAUUUAUUUUUUUCUACGUUGCAAUGAAACGCGUCCUUUGCCCCUGUAAUUACACGGCGCUUCACACGGCGCUCCGAUGGAGAGAGAGGGAGGCUAAUUGGUGGCGCAGAGAUCUUGUCCAGGUGUGUGUGUGUUAGUGUGUCCAGGUGUCGGCUCAGUGUUGUGGAUGUUUGCCGUCUACAGAAUGUAGACUCAUUGUGUGCGCGCAGACCCUGUCGUAUCGUCUCUCCGAUUUAGGGAUCAGGUGUGAAUUCUGUACAGCAGAUGGGCUGUGACGGGUGUGUGUGUGUGUGGGUGUGUGUGUGUGUGUGUGUGUGUGUGUGUGUGUGUGUGUGUGUGUGUGUGUGUGUGUGUGUGUGUGUGUGUGUGUGUGGAGGUGAUUAGAGGUUGACUAAUAAAGAAGAAGAAUGACUGCUGAAUCAGCAUUUGAACAAAGGAGAUUUGGAUAACAAUUGUUUAGCAAUGUGUCAUUACAGCCACAAUGAAUAUGACAAAAAAGAUGACUGCUAGUAAUAAUAAAGCAAGAUGCCCCAUAUCGAUUUAGUUGUACUUUCAGGCAGCUAAACCUCUACUGAGUUCAGGAGGUCAGCGACUAUCUCAUGACCUGUGACCCUGUUAAACACGUUAAACACGUUGAUCAUUCCAGCUUCCACAAUGGCACAUUAAAAAGAGAGAGAGAGAGAGAGAGAGAGAGAGCAGUCUCGGAGCAGCAACCAGCGGGGAAUGUUUUAUUUUUGUGCUCACAAGGACGGGUUUCACAAAGAAUCAACAACAAAUCCAAAAGGUUAGUUUAGUCUGACUUUUAUUCCCCUCUCUCAUGUCACUUUUCCUCCGAUCACGUCGAUUAAACCAUGGAUGACGUCAUAAUUUCGUGCUUCUUUCCUUUUGGCUGGGCCAUUUAUUAUUUUUAUUUUUUUUGUAUGCACAUUUCAGGAAAAUGUUUGCUUUAUCUUCCAAACAUGGAUGGUCACACAAGUGAGCGUAUCGGGGUUUGCAGAGAGUGAAGUGGCGUGUUUGGUUGUUGCCCUGCUAGCAUGUGUGAGUUUGUCCGUGACCGGGAGCCGAUGGUUCAGCCUGUAAGGAGAAAGUUUAACAGCGUGAACUGUUUUGGCCCACAGUAGCUUGCGCGCCGUCCACUGAUGAAGCGAAACAACCAAGAUGACGUCUGGUAGCUUUCCUUGUCGAGGUUUCGCAACAAUACUUUCACUCUUCAAGUUGCUUUUCUUACAUUACAGAAGAAGAAGUGUCUGCUGCCUCAUGGAAUCGUGGUUUCCAAUCAGCCAAUC
ensembl:lncRNA